AUGUUCGCACUAUGUGCCACGACUCUCCUGUGCUUCCUGUCUUUUAGCCAAUCGGCUCCUGCUGCAGCUCUAGCCUGUGAGGACCUCCUUAAGCCCAUGGAUCCACCACGACUAGACCAGCAGCUCUUGAGGAAAUGGGCCCUCGUCGCAGGCAGCCUGAGCCACCCUGCAUCCCUGGAGGCUCUCAAGACCAGAGACGGCAUCACCAUGGAGUUUUCACCCUCUACCCCCAACACCACCCAGAACUCCAACACCACCACAACCGUCCACUACACCCAGACUAACCGCUUCGGCAGCCGAUGCGAGUAUCUAACCUACAAUAUCUCACUCCUCAACGACAACAGCACCUUCCGGUUCGACGUGGGGGGCCGAUUCAACCUCACUGGGGUCUUCCUGGAGACCUCCUGCCCAGACUGUCUGGUGAUGAAGUGGGAGGUGAUGUCCAGGAGGAGGGAGUCCACGGACCUGUACCUGCUGAGGAAGGUGGAGGGCGGGAGAGAGGUGGAGGAAGAGGAGAUGGAGGAGUUCAGGAAACAGGUGGAGUGUUUGGGGCUGCCUCCGCCAGUGGUGAUGGAGCCGGGGAAUGUCCUCUGUGGUUUCUAUCAGCACAUCUGGAAAGACUGAGGAGAAGAAGAAGAAGCUCGAUCAGUGGGAUCAGAGAGUGGGGGCCGUGAGACAGAUGUAGAGACGCGUUUUCUGUCAUCUGUUUUGGAAUCCAACCAUUCUGUGUUUACGGUUUGUCGAUGACCUGUAGAAUUUUGAAAAAAAAGAUGCACGGUUUGUCAUAUUAUUCUGUCUUCUUGGCUUCUUUAACAGAUUUAAUUACGUUCACAGAGAGAUUUAAUGUCCAAGAGCUUAAGCUAAUUCACAGAGACGGUGGGAUCCAGCAGGAAUGUCGGGACGUCAUUAGGACCGCUCCAAACUCUUCACAAUGGGAAGGAAAAGUCUUUUAUAAUUGGAUUACUGUUGUAUAAUUUGGCAUAACCUCAUUUGUCCAUGCAUUAAAGUGCUCAUACUGUUAAUUCUCAGAUUAAACUGUAUGGAACAGUGAACAAUUUGUCAUUUGUGAGUGAGAGAGAGUGUUUCUGCCGAUGUGGGCGUGCGCAAGCAAGGGGGGAAAUGUGGGUGUGAGUACGGACAGGGACAGGGAGAGAGUAACCUACUUCCAGAAGUAUUGGGUACUUGGUCUUACUUUAGGUUCUGAUUAGACAUGACGUACCUUUAGGAUUGACGUCCCAAAUUCCACAACGAGAAAAAGAAGGUCCCCUGUAGAUCAGAAGCGUUCCAGUCCGGUGGCGUCGUCACCGCCACAGACGAUACCAUACCAACAG
rnacentral:lncRNA from 8 species